UGGGCGUAAAGCGCAUGCAGGCGGCCUGUUAAGUCAGAUGUGAAAGCCCGGGGCUUAACCUCGGAAUUGCAUUUGAAACUGGCAGGCUAGAGUCUUGUAGAGGGGGUAGAAUUUCAGGUGUAGCGGUGAAAUGCGUAGAGAUCUGAAGGAAUACCAGUGGCGAAGGCGGCCCCCCUGGACAAAGACUGACGCUCAGAUGCGAAAGCGUGGGGAGCAAACAGGAUUAGAUACCCUGGUAG
rnacentral:rRNA from 1 species